UCCACCAUUCAAUAUGUUUGCCACCCCUACACGAUAAUCUUUUAUUUUUUAACACCCCAAACCCGUGAGUUAACAAAAAUCAGAAAAAAAAACAGUACCAAAUUUGUAUAACGAUGAGAAAACGACUUCAAAUUCUUCAUUAAUUCAAGAUAUGGGGAUUUCUGUGAAAGGAGUUGAAUUCAAAUUUCAAAUCACACAUUUUUAAAAAAAUUCUCAUUUUUAAUCUGAAUUUCAUCUAUAAAUAGCCUAAGUCUUCACUUUCUCAAGGAGGUUUUUUUGGAGGGUGGGCGGGAUAAAAGGAAUUUCAUUGGGGGUGGGGUGGGGUGGGGUGUGUGGAAUUGGAGAUUCUAGGGGAGCAUUCCUCUAAUCUCACAUAAUCAAGAAAUUCAUUGAAAUCUUUUAAAUUUUGACAAAAUUUGAGCUAAAUUCUGAUUUCGAAGUCUGUCCCUGGCAUAUCAUCGUUCUGAUUCACUGCUCAAAAGGAGAUAACCUUCCUUCCUCUCUUUUCUUGUUACUAUUUUUUUCUCUCUGUUUGUUGCUGCUGCCCAUCCUCCAAAUAAUAUCAUAGUGUUUAAGUUUUCAUGUUUGUUUUGGUUACUUGAUUAAGUAAAAUAUUGGUUUCAUUGUUUGAUUUGGUGUGGUAGAUGAAAUUUUCAUGUUGUUUUGUUUCCUGGUUGGUUUUUACCUUCAAGAAAAUGAUGAUUCCAUUAUUUAGUUUAGCUGUAAGAGUAUAAGGUAAGAGGGGCAUUUUGACGAAUGUUAUGGGGAAAAAUGGAGAACUUCUCAUGGUGUUCGUCAUUUAUGUCCAUUCUCUGCCCGUAAAAUACUCUAAAUUUUCCUCCAUCCCGGUUGUGUUCUCCUAAUGCUUCGGAUAUUUCAAAAAGAAGAGAUCAUUUUAAGACAAUAUGUGUGAUUCAUGGCUUUCAUGCUUGUUCAUUUCCAAUAUUGUUAAGAUUGUUGCUCUUUUUUUCUUUAACUUCCUUGUCUUUCUGUUUUAGUAUUUAGUACGAACAUUAGAUUCAUAUAAAGCAUCAUGGUGUAAGGAAUAAAUCCCUUAUGGUGUUUGUUACUUCCACCUCUCCUUUCUCCAAUUUGUUCAACAGGACAAAAAUUCUCUUGGUUCAUGAUACUGGGUUGAAUGUUUUGGAUAGAAACACGAGUAUUGAGUUACCACUCUAAUUCUUCUCUCCGAAGAUAUAUAAAAAAAAUUGGAAAUGAAAUUGAGUCCCUUUGUUCUUUAAAUCUCUCACCUAUAGUUAUUUUCCUCCUUUUAUUUAGUUGUCGGGAUCAUUGCACGAAGUUGAUCGAGCCUAAAAAUGGUUUAGAGAAAUCAUUUUCUCUGAAUCUAUUCCUCGAUCCUGCUUGUGGAUUGUUUUGAAAUGUUGUUGUUUACUGGAAAAUAGACGUUUUCUUUCUGAAUAUAUGGAUAUUUGUUGAAAGUGUUGAUUUGGGAACUUAUUUUCCUUCAACUUGUGAUAGUAAGUUGAGAAAAUUGAAGGAAAGGUUUAAGUCAUGGAUAAAGGAUUGGUGAUACUGAUCAAUUUAAAGGGUCAAAUAUAAUUAAGAAACUUGAUUAAGUUAAUUGUGAACUCGAUUAAUAUUUUUUAAAUUUUCUAAUUUUUUCAAAAAUAUAAAUUAACCCACGUCUCUCCUUUCUAAAUCAACCGUCUCUCUCCUCUCUCUCGACAGUCUUUCUCAACUUUCUUUCAACCAACAGUUCUGCAAAAUUUCUUCCUUCAAUCUCCGGGGACUUCAAGAUCUAGCGACAAAUAGCUGGGUGAGUUUCUUUACGACUUUCAACCGUCAAUCGACGUGAUAAGCAGUAUUUUUCGGUGACAACAACUUCGAGUUCUUUGUUGGCCCAUUUCUUCUUUCACAGGUUGAUUAUAGGAUGCAACAAAUAACUUACCUGGUACAACAGAUGAGCGAUCUAUUUAUAUUAUUUCUAAUGGAUUACUCAUUCGCUGCAGUAGGUUGGUUAUAUACUGCGACAAAUAUCCUACCUGGUGCAACAGAUGUGUGGCCUAUUUUUAUUGUUUCUAACAUAUUGAUCAUCCGCUGCAACAAGUUGGUUAUAUGCUGCAAUAGACAUCCUACCUGGUGCAACAGAUGUGUUGUCUGUUGGAAUUGUUAUUUUAUUGUUGUACAUAUUUGAUUUGCGGUUAUUCUUUUUUAACGAUGCAUUAAUUAAUUAUUA